rnacentral:rRNA from 1 species
AUUGAACGCUGGCGGCAGGCUUAACACAUGCAAGUCGAACGAGUGGCGGACGGGUGAGUAAUGCUUGGGCAUCUAGCUUAUGGAGGGGGAUAACUAGGGGAAACUGUAGCUAAUACCGCGUAACAUAGGAUGAGCCCAAGUGGGCUUAGGUAGUUGGUGAGGUAAAGGCUCACCAAGCCGACGAUCUCUAGCUGGUCUGAGAGGAUGACCAGCCACACUGGGACUGAGACACGGCCCAGACUCCUACGGGAGGCAGCAGUGGGGAAUAUUGGACAAUGGGCGAAAGCCUGAUGGAGCCAUGCCGCGUGUAUGAAGAAGGCCUUCGGGUUGUAAAGUACUGUCAGCGGGGAGGCGGUACCCGCAGAAGAAGCACCGGCUAACUCCGUGCCAGCCGCCGCGGUAAUUC